rnacentral:rRNA from 1 species
UACGGGGGGGGCAAGCGUUGUUCGGAAUUACUGGGCGUAAAGCGCACGUAGGCGGAUUGUUAAGUCGGGGGUGAAAUCCUGGAGCUCAACUCCAGAACUGCCUUCGAUACUGGCGAUCUCGAGUUCGGGAGAGGUGAGUGGAACUGCGAGUGUAGAGGUGAAAUUCGUAGAUAUUCGCAAGAACACCAGUGGCGAAGGCGGCUCACUGGCCCGAUACUGACGCUGAGGUGCGAAAGCGUGGGGAGCAAACAGG